rnacentral:ncRNA from 1 species
AUUGGUUCGCUCGAGGAGCGAUGAAAAGGGAACAGGGUGAGAAUCCCCGACAGUCCCGCUGCUGUAAGUUGUCUUUCGACACUCGGAGCAUGAUGCCACUGGCCCAUUUGCCGGGAAGGCGCUCAGGGUGCGGCAACAAAGUCAGAAGACCUGCCGUCACAGUUUU